rnacentral:tRNA from 1 species
GGGGAUGUAGCUCAGUGGCACAGCGCCUGCCUGGCAAGCACGAGGUCCUGAGUUCCAUCCCUG